CUUUGUCUUCCUCUGUAGGUGAGUGAGCUGUGUGGGUGGAUGACCAAGCGGAAUAGGAUGGCGCAGGGAGAAAUUGGAGGCUUCGGUUUUGUGGGACAGCCUCGGAGGCUUGAGGAACAAUGACGCCGUCAUUUUCUGGGUCUUCAAAGCAGUUGCAAAGAGAUGCCCAGAUGGAAAAGAGAGGCCCAAACCAUCCGAGGGAAUUCAUAACAGAAAGUAACUUGCUAAAGACCUGACUCUUUCUCAUUUCAAAAGCAGUGACUGCCAACGCAUAGAGAUGCCAGCUGCCUGUAAAGUUCCUAGAGCUACUGGGAGAAUGAGUGGACAGUGGCACAAGGCUUUGCUGGCGUAUAAGAAUUGGAUGUUGUGAACAUCCAGAAAAGGCAGACAAAAGAAGAAAAUAUACAGUAUUGACUAGAGGGUUUUGAGAUGAGGUCUUUACAUAGCCCUGACCUUGAACUCAACCAUCUUGCCUCCCAAGUGCUGGGAAUUUUGUACCAAUAAGGCCAACUAUGAUACUAAUUUUUAUUAAUGGAUAGAACAUGAGAUCACGGCUUCUUAAAAAGGGUUGUUGAAUUCCUUGUAAUAAGUUUAAUUUUAUGGAUUUAAGAUGUGGAUGGAAUUAAAGCUGUGUGGAAGUUUGCAGUGAUUCAUGAGAAUCUAGUAGGAUUAUGACAAUCUGUCUAGUGCACAGAAUUCAGCAAUUUUGUGACUAUAAAAUUUGUUACAAGCUACAUUUCCUUAUCCAGCAGGGCUUACUGUGAAUGCUGCAAUAAACGGUUUGGUUGCACCAACAGAUAA